UGGACCGUGUACAAGUCUCCUGGAAUGGAGCAUCAUAGAGGGUGAGAAUCCCGUCUUUGACAUGGACUACCAGGGCUUUGUGAUGCGCUCUCAAAGAGUCGANUUNUUUGGGAAUGCAGCUCAAAAUGGGUGGUAAAUUCCAUCUAAAGCUAAAUAUUGGCGAGAGACCGAUAGCGAACAAGUACCGUGAGGGAAAGAUGAAAAGAACUUUGGAAAGAGAGUUAAACAGUACGUGAAAUUNCUGAAAGGGAAACGCUUGAAGUCNGUCGCNUCGUNCNGGGAUCAACCUUGCUUUUGCUUGGUNCACUUUCUNGUUCGAUGGGUCAGCAUCAAUUUUGACNGUUGGAAAAAGUNUGAGGGAAUGUGGCAUCUUNGGAUGUGUUUAUAGCCC
rnacentral:rRNA from 1 species